rnacentral:rRNA from 1 species
GAUGAACGCUGGCGGCGUGCUUAACACAUGCAAGUCGAACGAUGAAGCCCAGCUUGCUGGGUGGAUUAGUGGCGAACGGGUGAGUAACACGUGAGUAACCUGCCCUUGACUCUGGGAUAAGCCUGGGAAACUGGGUCUAAUACUGGAUAUGACUCCUCAUCGCAUGGUGGGGGGUGGAAAGAUUUAUUGGUCUUGGAUGGACUCGCGGCCUAUCAGCUUGUUGGUGAGGUAAUGGCUCACCAAGGCGACGACGGGUAGCCGGCCUGAGAGGGUGACCGGCCACACUGGGACUGAGACACGGCCCAGACUCCUACGGGAGGCAGCAGUGGGGAAUAUUGCACAAUGGGCGCAAGCCUGAUGCAGCGACGCCGCGUGAGGGAUGACGGCCUUCGGGUUGUAAACCUCUUUCAGUAGGGAAGAAGCGAGAGUGACGGUACCUGCAGAAGAAGCGCCGGCUAACUACGUG